rnacentral:rRNA from 1 species
GAUGAACGCUGGCGGCGUGCCUAAUACAUGCAAGUCGGGCGAACGGACGAGAAGCUUGCUUCUCUGAUGUUAGCGGCGGACGGGUGAGUAACACGUGGAUAACCUACCUAUAAGACUGGGAUAACUUCGGGAAACCGGCGCUAAUACCGGAUAAUAUUUUGAACCGCAUGGUUCAAAAGUGAAAGACGGUCUUGCUGUCACUUAUGGAUGGAUCCGCGCUGCAUUAGCUAGUUGGUAAGGUAACGGCUUACCAAGGCAACGAUGCAUAGCCGACCUGAGAGGGUGAUCGGCCACACUGGAACUGAGACACGGUCCAGACUCCUACGGGAGGCAGCAGUAGGGAAUCUUCCGCAAUGGGCGAAAGCCUGACGGAGCAACGUCGCGUGAGUGAUGAAGGUCUUCGGAUCGUAAAACUCUGUUAUUAGGGAAGAACAUAUGUGUAAGUAACUGUGCACAUCUUGACGGUACCUAAUCAGAAAGCCACGGCUAACUACGUG